AUGGCUUUUUUAUAUCCCAGGAAAAGUAUAUCCAGGAUCUUCUUGCUCGUGCUGCUCUUACUGACGAGCGCAUUGUUGAGACUCCUAUGGAGCUCAAUGUUCACCUCCGUGCUACUGAUGGUGAUCCUCUCCCUGACCCGACGCGUUAUCGUCAUCUUGUUGGCAGUCUUGUUUAUCUCGCUGUCACUCGUCCGGACAUCUCUUAUCCGGUUCAUAUUCUGA
rnacentral:rRNA from 1 species